rnacentral:tRNA from 1 species
GGUCCCGUAGUGUAGCGGUUAACACGCCUGCCUGUCACGCAGGAGAUUGCGGGUUCGAUUCCCGUCGGGACCG